rnacentral:rRNA from 1 species
GACGAACGCUGGCGGCGUGCUUAACACAUGCAAGUCGAACGGAAAGGCCCUGCUUUGGUGGGGUGCUCGAGUGGCGAACGGGUGAGUAACACGUGAGUAACCUGCCCUUGACUUUGGGAUAACUUCAGGAAACUGGGGCUAAUACCGGAUAGGAGCACCUGCUGGAUGGUGGGGGUUGGAAAGUUUCGGCGGUUGGGGAUGGACUCGCGGAUUAUCAGCUUGUUGGUGGGGUAGUGGCUUACCAAGGCUUUGACGGGUAGCCGGCCUGAGAGGGUGACCGGCCACAUUGGGACUGAGAUACGGCCCAGACUCCUACGGGAGGCAGCAGUGGGGAAUAUUGCACAAUGGGCGGAAGCCUGAUGCAGCAACGCCGCGUGCGGGAUGACGGCCUUCGGGUUGUAAACCGCUUUCGCCUGUGACGAAGCGUGAGUGACGGUAAUGGGUGAAGAAGCACCGGCUAACUACGUG